CUGCGAUUUCACACCGAUUUCACACCGAUUUCACACCGAUUUCCUCCGGGUUGCCGCGCCUCUGCCGUCCCGCGGCUCCGCGCAAAUUGCGCGCCCGCUCCGCGCCUCCGCCGCCCGCGGCCGGCCCCGCGUUCACUCGGCCGGCUCCGUAGGUGGCCGUGUAUAUUUUUGUUCAAGUAGUGUUUAUGUGAAUGAAAAAGGCUGAGAUUACAAACAGACCACUGAACGCCCGGGAUGUUGCUGCCGGAUUGGUCUAGGCUGUGUAUUUUAAACCUAAUCAGGAGCAAAUAUGAUUUUUGUGUGCGUGCAUGCGUGUGCAUUAUUUUUAGCAGAAACACGUUUGGGAUGUUUGGGGAGCACUGUACCCUAACCCCUGUCUCUUUCCUCCGUGAUUUCUGAGCUGUGUUUUGCUCUGCACGGUUGGGGAUGGAGCGGGGCUGCAGGGAGAGGUGACAGAGCAGCUCUCUGGGAAUUAUCCCCCAGACAACGAAAUCGAUCCCUUGGCUCCUGGAAAGGGAAAGGAGGGGCUCAGUUCGCCCCCCCCCGAGCCCCCUCCGAGCCCAUAGAGGGUUUCCAUGUGCUGGUGGCAAACGGGUGCUCGUCCCUAAAGCCUCGGCUAUGGGAUGGGGCAUGUCUGGGCUUUCUCCUUGCCGGGUGUUGCUCGGCACAACCUGAAAUCCGCUCCAAACAUCCCCGCUAAUUCAGCAUUGAAAAAUGCCAUUUACAAUUUACCACAUCAAAAGAAAAAAAAAUAUAUAUAUAUAUUAUAUAUAGGUUGCAUAUUUAGGAUUUCAGCCCUUGCAAACGCAAAAGUGAUCAGGAAUCAGUUCAUCAAUUGCAUAAAAGCAGACAUCCAGCAGGCAGUUUGAUUUUCCUUUCAGGAGGGAGCUGUGACUUUCUUUGGUUUCAGAGGCAGGGUCCGUGUGAUUCUGGUUUCCUUAACAAAAAAAGAUUUCUCCAAAAUCACUCCUGGAACCCCCUCAGCUGUUCCUAUCUCCGCUUACAUCAGUGUGCUCACGAGGGUUCAAAAGAAAUCACCCCAUUUUUGCAGACGUUCCUCUGCCGAUCGAUCAUUCCCAGCGUGGAGGGAUGCCCCGGGGGUCCCAGCAAAAGGGUUUCUCCCCCCCGACAGCUCUGCGAGCAAACGUGCGGCGGCUUUGGCAUCGCCUUCCUUCCCAAUAUUUGCCUUUUGUGGGCAAAAGCUGUCGGUGGAGCAGAGCUCUCCGGCUCAGCCAGCCGGAGGAUUUGUGCGCUCCGAUGUUUUACUACUGUUAUGAUUCCUCAUUGACUGAAGUACAAAGAAAAUCGCCGCGUAAACAAGUCGCCGUCUGAAGGGGACGUGGGCGAAAUUUGGGGCAAGCAAAACCUUAGCAGGGAUCUAAGGGAAGAAGGGAAACAGGGGAAAACACGACAGUCCCGUGCAAGGUUUUCCCUAUGUGAUGGCAGCGUCACUUCAGAGCUGUGUGGGUUUUUUUUCCCCGUGUUUUGUGGGGCAGAGGAGAGCCCUAAAAUGGCUUUUUCUCCCUUAGAAUAUGUGGAGGGCAUCAAUCCAUCUCCCCCCAAAAUGAGUAGGCUCCAGCACGAGGCUUAGCACAGAACAGCGGGUGUUUGGUUCUCUCACCUGGAACCAGCAGUUUUUUUUCAUUGACACUGUAUUUUUUGCAUUCGUUCUUUUUUUAUGCGGGGGGGGAAGGGGGAGGACAAUCCUUUUUUUUGUUACCUAGCGACCUCAAGCAGAGGGAUGGCCAACACUAAAAGAGCACAGCAUUCGGCUUUGGAGAAAACACCACUGCUGUCAGAACCAGGUAGGCCCUGAGGAGGUGGGGGCAGCAGGGUGGGGGUCGGGGCCCCCCAGCGCUCACCCCCAUGUGCUCAGCCCAGAACAGGGACAGCUCUGUGCCGUACACCAUGGGCAGCCCCCAUACGGGGACCCACUGAAGGAUGGGGACAAAGGGCUGUCCCCACCUUGGCACACACGUGCACACGCACGUACACACGUGUUCACGUGCCCGUGCACGCAUGCACACGUGCACACCCUCCUCUAACCCCGCAUCCGACCGCGCCGCUCCCGAGCAGCUCUAAUGAUGCCGCAGCACCAGCGAUGCGGUGCGAGGCAAAAAGCAGAUGAAAGUGAUGUCACAUUAAUGUCAGCUCACAACUCGAGCCCACACAGCCUUGAUUGCUCUUAUUAAUCUUGCCAAUUUGUCUGUCAGCACUCAGCUAAUCCCUAAAUAGCCUCCCAACAGGUGCUUUAUGCUUCCGUCACAUCGCUGCUCCCCAGCAUCCCCCCCCCCUGGAGCCCCGGAGCCCUCCUCAGUGACACCGGCUCUCUCCUGUCCAUCUGGGAGCGGCUUCUUCCCCAGGAGGGCUGGAGGGGGGAGAGGCGGCUUUGCAGAUGUUGUUUAGUCUGCACACAGAGGGCACGCGGAGCUGGGGGCUUCCCAAAUGGAAGCGAUGGGCAGCGGGGAGGGGACGCAGGAGAAAUUCACCUGGGGGCAAGGGUGGGGGUAAACGGGGGACCAACAACCCUUUCUCUCCCUCCCCCCAAGGUUUGCUUGCAUCGCUGUGAAAAAUUGCAUGUAUGGCACCCGACGCUAGCACGGUGGUUGCAUUGCUUUUACGUAUCGCCGGCUUGUUGGUUUUAUUGAGAGGGGAGGAAAGCUUAAGGCAACGCUGAAGCUGCAGUGGAAAAGCCACAUGACACCCUGGGCAGCUUUAUCCUGCAAUUAAGCCGAGGGUCAAACAUUUCCUUUGCUGUGCUAUCAGAAAAUCCGCUGGCUUAUUGCAGUGUAUAUUUAGCCGUAAAGAUCCCGCUGAGCACUGAGUGGAAGGCUGAAAUUAUUGUGCUCCGUCCUCCCAGAGCUGUUAUUUAGCACAGUAGUUUUAAACACAGUUGGUUUUUUUUUUUGUGUGUGUGUGUGUGUGUGCAGGAAACCCUACGAACUACUAAAGCGGAGUGCAAGCUGCUUUCCUGCAUUAAAAACAAAAGUUAUAUAUACAUAUAUUUUGGUUUGGCAGCUUGCUGCAUGGAGCAGCUCGCACGCAGCCUUGAGCCCCGUGCGUUGCAGCUCACCUGGGGGAUGCUGUGCUCUGCAGGAGGAGCUGCCAAGCCCGGCUCUGCUGGAGCAGGCUCCAAUUUUACAUCCGAAGUUGGCUCGGGCUGCUUCCAGCCCUGAGCUCAGCACAGCAGGAAGGAAGCUUUCAGGGCAUCCUCCACCGCUCUUCCAAAAGAGCCACCAAGGGGAGCGUGGUCGCUGCUAGAGCUUGGGGCUGCUCCUCGUUAACCCUUGGGCGCUUCAGAUCAGGUCCUGAAAGCCCUCUACAAACACCAUUCGCCACCGCAAGCUGUUCCACUCCAUCCCGACCUGGAUUUAUUAUCGGGAGACAGAUAGAUUUUUCCUUCUUUCUCCCCGUCCAUUUAUUUCAAGCCAUAAGACGAUCCAUCACGGUGAGCUGGAACCGACCUACGAUCCGGGGAUAUUCUUAGAUACGCAGCGUGUCAGGAAACGGCUAGCAGCCCCACUUGAUGCAAAUAUUUGGACGAGCGAGAGGUAGGAAGGAUUGUCCAAAUGUUUACUGAAGGCUGUUGAUAGCCCAAGGAUUUAUAACUGGCGCAUAAUGCCUGCCCCCACACAGCUCCUCUAGCAGGUGCAUCCAGUUUCAGCAUGACACAUGGUAUGUGCGUGCUCUGGGAACGGGGAUGCAGGAGAAAGCGCUUUCACAGCUCUCACCUCCCUCCUCCCAUCUCCAUUAAGUUUUGGAGCAGCAAGAUGAGAGCCCAGGACCAGCUCUGAUGAUACAGAGCCCCAGCAGCAAUUCACGUCUGAAGACAAAACAUAAGCAUUGAGCGUGUUUGGUUGGGAUUUCCCACGUGAAACCAAGGCUCUGAAUUAUUUAGGCCCAUUGGUACAUUCCUUGUCACACUCCUUCAGUUCUGUGAGGGAGAAAAGCCACAUUAUUCUAGCUAUUGCUCUUGCCAUUUCACUUCCUAACUUGCACCGUCAGGGUUUGAUCUCCUUUCUCUCACAAUAAGCCCUAAUUACUGCUGGAGGCAUAUCACUGCUAACUAAUUGGGUUUAACCAAUUCUGGUGUCCAAGGAGCUGCAGUUUUUUGGUGGCUUUCAGGACACCACAGGAAAUGCCCUGGCACCCACUGCCAGGCAGCCCCUACACCACCAACAGAGGACAGCACGUUCAGGGCACAGCACGUUGGCCAAGCAGAGUUGGAAAUACACUCAAGGAAAGCUUUAGUACCUUGCCCAAGGCCAACCAGCAAUGGCAUUCAAUGGCAGAAAGAAGUCAGUUCAUUGAUACUCUGUCCUGUAUAACCUGUGGCCUAGAUGCCCUCAGGGUGCAGGGAGACCUCAGCUGACUCCAACCCAACCUCCUGCUCAAAGCAGGUCCAUGGCCCAUGCGAGAUAGCAGCUUCAUGUGUCUGAGCCUUGAAAACCUCUGAGGACAAAGCCUGAUAGCCAUGCUUACAAAUAGUUCAGGCAGCAGAGGAGCUGUUGGUGCCCUUGUGCCCAUCCAACCAGGCCCUCAAGCUCUGCUGUCAACGCAGUGGCUGUUUUGCCUGUAAGCAUUCCUACACUGCAUUAUUGAGAAUCCUAUGGAACAGGAGCAACGAGCACGGAGCUGAGUCACUCAAGUCUGCUAAUCGCCUUUCCUUAACCAUUUAGUAGGUUUUGACAAGGCUAGGAACAUGAACGCAUGCACUUAGCAUGCUGCAGAAGCCCGGACAACGUGCUUUUCUGUGUAACGAGCAGCAAUUGUAUCUGCUACAGAACAGCCUUUAAUUCAUUGCAGCCCCGGAUGGCAGAGUUUGCCGACUGCUCAGACAGGAAUACAAUGGCCCUAUUGUUUUGCCAAGGGAAGAUUUCUUUGUUGCACGCUGUCGUGUAAACUGUAUGUUUUCUAUUUGUUACCUGAUUCGUUUCAAUGAAAUUCCUUAUGUAGUUUUAAGACUGUCCGCUGUCCUGGGCUGGAGCAAUGGGAGAAACUGUGGGAGGCUGAGGACCAGGUGAUUAGAGUUACAUCUAUUUGGCUUGCUUGGAAAGAAGGAAGAGAAUUUGGUGCUCUUCAUGGGAGCAGAAAUCGCAUAAUAAAAUAUACGGGGGAAAAAAGUAGUAAGUGCUCAAAUUCCAGUCAUCUGCUGUGCUGUGUAUAAAGGUUUCCUUUAUAUAUCAAAAGAAUUCGAUCCUGGUUUAGAUGUCACAUUCUCAGUGUGGCCUUAAGAGCGUAGUUGUAACUCAGACUAAUCCGGAUUUCUCUCUCCUUGAACCUAUUUCUCAACAAUCACACAACAGUGUGGAAAUGUGUUUCCUAGACAAGAAUCUUGAGCCAUCAACUAGCCCCAAGCCAGGGGGAUUCCACCAAUGCAUAUGGUGGUCAUGCUGUGCACAGCCCAAAGCCUUCUUCACAGCCAUGCAAACCAUGUUUCCAUACCAAUCUCUCCAGUUUCUUCUCGUGUUAGCAGUGGGUUUAGCUCCCUGGACUUGCCAGGUAUGGGGAUAGCCUCCCUAUAGAUCUCCUUCCACAAGUGCCCCUUUCCCCAGAACCUUUGUGUAGAUGCAUCUUUGUGUAGGUACAGUAACUGUGAGGUUUAAAAGAUUGGUAAAAGGAUUGGAUUUAAGGCAUUGCAGCCCAAAAAUACGAUCCUAAAACCUGAGUUCGCCAGUCAUCUGAACCUAGAUGCACCCACAUCGCAUGGGGGCAACAGCAAGCUCUGGUAGAAGAGAGAAUAUUCUGCAGAUCUGUACUCUGGCCCCUGUCAGGCAGUUUUAGGAGAGGAAGGCUACGGACAUCCAGUUAAAAACUGCAAAACCAGUAGGAUUUGGGCCAGGCUUAACCAAAGCAGAAAUAAAUCAUCUCAGUCACUGGUAUGUUUCAGUGCAUUUGGGCUUAGAGGCGAUGUGGGCGAUGGCUUGUGGUCCAGACCAGCGUGGUGCUUUUAGCUAUAUAUAAUUAGAUGUUUUUUCUACUGCAAACCAUUACUGACAGACUGAAAGGGUUUUAUUCCACAGGACUUUUCCUGCCUCAUCUGCCAGGGAGAAAGCAGGCCUCACUCAAACUCUGCUUCCUUGGUGUAAAUCACAGCAUGGGGCUACCUUAUCUCAGCCAGAGCCCCUGUGCAGGAAUGCUGCUCUGUCCAGCCCUCGGGCCACCCACCCCUGAUCCCAGGCUCCAGCAUCUGCUCCAGGCCCAAGCUCUGACCCUUCAGAGACAUAUUUUUGCAAGGUCAGGAGGUUGGGUAGUAAAAGGGGAGUGGAGAAUAGCAGGGGAACAGUGAAGGCUGGCUCUGCAAAGGGAUUUCAGGAGGAUGUUUACACUCGCCAUUAAAUGCAGGCUUGAGCCUGUUCUCUUCUCCAUUUGCACUGUUUGCAUGCAAGCAUGCGUGAGGCACAGGCACAGUCCCAGCUUCAAAGCCUUCUGGAUGAGGGUGGUCCAUGCAUGCUCUGCACCCUUGCUCCUUGGUCGUGCAAUUGGGCCAAGUGGAGCAAGGCAGGAGCAGUGAGACAGCCAGCCCUGCUGGGCAUCUCUGGGUCCUUCAUGGGCAACAAGAAUGCUUUCAGCACCAGAAAAUAAAUCAUACAGAAAAACCACGUGGAAGAGGGGCAGAAGAAAGGAGGAGAAACAGCUCUGCCAGAUGGAAGUAGACAGAUGUCCAUCUCAAAUGGAUGGAUGUACAUCUCUAUGUCUUGCUUUUACCCAAUACAGAGCUUUUCUUUUCUUGUGCUCUUGUGUUGUGGUGAUUCGUCACAUUUUAGCUUAUCAGCAGAAAAGAUUAAAGAUACUAUUGUGCUGAAUGAACAGCCCAUGUCACACACAUGGAUGGAGCCUUCUUCCUGGAGUGGAAGUGGUCCUUUGGGAUUGGGUCAAAGAAUGAUUUCAGGUGGAAUUUCUCUGAAAUUUCUGCGUGCAUUUGCUUGGAAGGGCCACAUAUCUGCCUUCAUCCAAGAAACAGCUGCAGAGGGGUUGCUGGACAUGGCCUGACUAUCGUCAGGAACAAGGAGAGAUUGUUAGUGUGUGCAUCACUGCAGGAGACAUUUCAAUUAAAGAGAGAGCGUUCCAAGAAAAAACCUAAUUUUCUUAAACUGUUAAACUUAAAAUGGGUUAUUACUUCUCGCACAGCCAUUGGUGUAUAAAUUUGUCCUGAAUGAAGAGGGAAAUGUCAUUUCCUUUCCUCGACGAGCUGAUCUCAACAUAGGAGAUGAAGACUCCAGGCUCUUCCCAAUGAAGUUUCUGGCCAGCAGCUCCAAGGACUGUCACGGCCACGCUGUGCAUUUGGGGACGUCAUGCAAUGGGGCUUUAACCGUGAAUGGAGGACGUCUCAGCCCCACUAUGGGUGGGAUAAGGACAACCCUCACCCCAAGGGUGAGUGCUUAGGAGUGGAGGCAAAGCCAGCUGGUGGAGCAAGUGAUGGGGGCAGGCCUCCCUGAGAUGCAAAUCAGCCCAUGUGUACCCCAAAUGACCCAAACCACAACUUUAUGGAGGCUCUUCUGGCUGUAGGGUGCACUGAUGACAGAGCCAGCUCCCACCAUCUGUGGAUUUCCUCAUCCUGGCAGCUCAGCGGAGAGCAACAGGUUCUAGCUAAAUGCCUUAUGGUCCAGAUGCCAUGGAUCAUCCACCUUGGUUUUAGUAAGAGCAGUGCCCCUGCAACACAGUGAGCAGAUGUGAGGAGGUGUGAGCCACCCCAGGGUGGAGGCCACCUUCUCCAUCCCCACGUUUGCCGUAACCCCAAACCCAGCCCCAUCACGUGUGGUGAUAAAAGGGAACUGGCAGCACAAAACUCAUCUUGAUUUCCAGGCUGGUGGCCGCACAACCCUACUGGCUUCUCCGAAAGAAGCAAGAGACACAAACCUGUUCUGUCCCUAGGUUUCCCGCUGGGCUAAUUACUGCUAAUUGUGCCACUUGGCUAUCUGUUCAGCCACACCCUGAGCAGGGCUGAUUAGGGUAUCAGUGAGAUAAGGAACACUUGGGUAGCACAGGUAGCACAAUGUCCUAAGGAUGUGUUCAGGAACCGGGAUCCAACUGGAAGCCUUUUGGGAAAAGCUAGCAUGGGUUUUGGUGACUGUGUCUGCAAGCUGUACAGAAGCAAGCUGGCAUUCAUUUCAUCGUAAUUCCUUUAAAUUUACUUAGCAUGUGGAUUAUUCGUAUGAGCUGUUUUUGUUGUUGUUAACAAGACACUGUGGAAAUGGAGCUUUCCUCAUUUUUCCCUCUUCCCACAGAGAAAUAAACUCUGUUCUUUUAACAAA